UACGUAGGGGGCAAGCGUUGUCCGGAAUCAUUGGGCGUAAAGAGCGCGUUAGGCGGUCCGAUAAGUCGGUUGUGAAAACUGGGGGCUCAACCCUCAGAGGCCGACCGAUACUGUCGGGCUAGAGUCCGGAAGAGGCGAGUGGAAUUCCUGGUGUAGCGGUGAAAUGCGCAGAUAUCAGGAGGAACACCAAUGGCGAAGGCAGCUCGCUGGGACGGUACUGACGCUGAGGCGCGAAAGCGUGGGGAGCAAACAGG
rnacentral:rRNA from 1 species